AGUGAACGCUGGCGGUAGGCCUAACACAUGCAAGUCGAACGGCAGCACAGUAAGAGCUUGCUCUUACGGGUGGCGAGUGGCGGACGGGUGAGGAAUACAGCGGAAUCUACUUUUUCGUGGGGUAUAACGUAGGGAAACUAACGCUAAUACCGCAUACGACCUACGGGUGAAAGCAGGGGAUCUUCGGACCUUGCGCGAUUGAAUGAGCCGAUGUCGGAUUAGCUAGUUGGCGGGGUAAAGGCCCACCAAGGCGACGAUCCGUAGCUGGUCUGAGAGGAUGAUCAGCCACACUGGAACUGAGACACGGUCCAGACUCCUACGGGAGGCAGCAGUGGGGAAUAUUGGACAAUGGGCGCAAGCCUGAUCCAGCCAUACCGCGUGGGUGAAGAAGGCCUUCGGGUUGUAAAGCCCUUUUGUUGGGAAAGAAAAGCAGCAGGUUAAUACCCCGCUGUUCUGACGGUACCCAAAGAAUAAGCACCGGCUAACUUCGUG
rnacentral:rRNA from 1 species